AGAUAAAGAACCAAUAUUUUUGGUGACUCAUAAUAACUUUACGGAUCACAUUAUGUGACAUAUCAUUCAAGUUUCUGACCUAUCAGCUUUAGACGGUAGGGUAUUGGCCUACCGUGGCUAUGACGGGUAACGGGGAAUUAGGGUUCGAUUCCGGAGAGGGAGCCUGAGAAACGGCUACCACAUCUAAGGAAGGCAGCAGGCGCGCAAAUUACCCAAUCCUAAUACAGGGAGGUAGUGACAAGAAAUAACAAUACAGAACCUUACGGUUUUGUAAUUGGAAUGAGUUAAGUAUAAACCCCUUAACAAGUAUCAAUUGGAGGGCAAGUCUGGUGCCAGCAGCCGCGGUAAUUCCAGCUCCAAUAGCGUAUAUUAAAGUUGUUGCAGUUAAAAAGCUCGUAGUUAAUCUUCUGUUAAUUUUUAUAUAUAAUAUUUCGAUAUUUAUAUAAUAUUAACAUAAUUCAUAUUACUUUUUAGUAUAUGAAACUUUACUUUGAGAAAAUUAGAGUGCUUAAAGCAGGCUAUUGCCUUGAAUACUCCAGCAUGGAAUAAUAUUAAGGAUUUUUAUUCUUCUUAUUGGUUCUAGAAUAAAAAUGAUGAUUAAUAGGAACAGUUGGGGGCAUUUGUAUUUAACAGUCAGAGGUGAAAUUCUUAGAUUUGUUAAAGACAAACUACUGCGAAAGCAUUUGCCAAGGAUGUUUUCAUUAAUCAAGAACGAAAGUUAGGGGAUCGAAGACGAUCAGAUACCGUCGUAGUCUUAACCAUAAACUAUGCCAACUAGAGAUUGGAGGUUGUUCCUUACUC
rnacentral:rRNA from 1 species